AGUUGGUCUGGUGACUUUGGUCUGCUGUUUUCUUUCUUUUCUUUUCAUGCUUUUACUCUUUCAUUCCACGGCCCAAGACAACAUUUUUUCUAUAGAUUUGGGGUUAUAAGUGUUUCAAGGGAAAAAUGACCAUACACACUCCCUAAACUUUUAACCACUGGUCAAAACACCCCUGAACUAUUAUGUCGACCAAUUUACUCCAUAACUCCUUAAACUAUAAAUCCCUAUCAAAUCAGCACUUCAGUUAGUCUAACGUUAAAACACUAACAAAAUAUAAGCAUCUGAGAUGCACGUGUUCCCCACUUCUCCACAAAACAAAUUCAAUAACACGAUAGAGAGGAGAGACCUCUGACCGACAGAAAAGAGAGAGAGAGAGGUGGUAGAAUCAGAGCCACCGCAGAGCUUCCCUCCACCGUCUUGCUGCACUUGUCCCGGCAGUGCCUUGGUGGUUCAGCCGCACCGUUCAAGAACCCAGCACCUGGUCUAGGUUCACCCGAAGUUUAUUUUUGAAAGUGCUAAUGGAUUGUUGGAGGAAUAUCAGCGUUUAAUGGCAGCGCAAAGAGAAUAGAGAGGACUGGUGCUUUAGUGUGGGUGGUUUUAGUGUGAAUGUUUAGUUGAUGUUCCCCCCAGUGCUAGUUCUUAUCUAGCUUUACUUGUAUCUUUCGUUUACCGUCUAAUAAAGGUUUUCUAUCAUUCUUAGCUCC